ACCACGGCGAUGCUGCAGCUGAAUCAUCCACAGGAGAAGCGUGUGCUGAGGGCAUUCCCCGGAUUCCUGUACAGUAGGCUAAUCCACUUAAAUCUCACUGCUGGCUUCCCUGGGCGGGAGUUUCCCCGUCUCUUUUGAUUUAGUGGUUUGUAAACUCUACAAUUAAGUGCUUUUGGCCUGCUUAUUACUGUCCCCCUAUUCCCUAAAUGAUUUUAUGAAGAAGGAAUCAGGGAAAUUGAAAUAGGAGUCAGCAUGCCUUCAGUUUUUAAAUGUGUUGCUCUUUCUUCCCCUUUGCCUUCUACAUUAUCAUAUUAAUUUAUUUAAAUGACCGAGUAUGCCCCCUCCGAUUUGCCGAUCUAGCAUCUGGACUGAUCUCAAAUUUAUGCCGGUCCCCGAUUAUGUCUUUCCGAUCCCACUUAGAACCUAAGCGUCUACUGCUGGUCGUGUUCUCAGAAGGGUCUGGGGAGAACAAAGAUGGAAUCAAUCGAGUUGCCUUGGCCUUGAGACCUGCUUGUGACAUAUUUAGCUGUGCGGCAAAGUCUCUUAGCCUUUCUGGCAUGAUGCCCUCUUCAGGAAGUAAAGGUUAGAUGUAUAGAAAGUUCCUACCUGCCUGUGCAUAGUAGACACUCAACGAAUUAUGACAAUGACCACCGUUUACAUUAGACUGCCUAUUUGCUCAGCGGUGACCUGUUUGGGAGCGCUUUAUUAACGGCCAUUUGACAUGUGUUUUUGUGGCAUCUCUACUUAGCGUGGCCUCUUGAAGUUGAGAGCCCAGGUUUUCCAUACAGUUUGAAAUCGCCCACUGCAUUUAUCCUCCGCUGUGCUCUGCCUGUUUCCCUGCCUCUUAAAAAAUGCAUAUUGUCAUCAUCGUUAUGCCCAAACUCGUUCCACAUGUAUAAACAAAUCCCACACUCUCUUGUUAUUUUGUGCUGCCUUGGCAGGCGCAAAAGGUGCUCAGGUACUCAGGGGUAAGCGAUAUAGGCUGUUGUUUUCUUUGCUCCCCCCACCCCGUGUGUGUGUGUGUGUGUGUGUGUGUGUGUGUGUGUGUGUGUAUGUAUGUGUGUAUGUGUGUGUGUGUGUUUGUGUGUAUACACACAUACUUGUGUGUAAACACAUGCUAUGUGGAAGCCAGAGACUGAUGUCAGGUAUCUUCCUCAGUAGCUCUCCACCUGAUUUUUUGAGACAAAAUCUCACUGAACCUCACCUGGACAACCGGGCACUUGUCUAUCAUCUGGAUAAGCCAGCGAGCUGCCCCCACAGUGUCCCUCAUCCCAGUGCUGGAGUACAGCGCGACUCAGACAGUGGCUGAAUUUUAAACUCAUUGUUUUGACUCUGCUUCUGCAUCCCUAAUGGCUCUCCCUCGGCUCCACAGAAGGCGAGUCCUUGCACUGGUACUGGUCCCUACCUUGCUCAUUACUUGAGACUGUCAAUCGGCACUAAUAAAGUACAGCAUGAAGACCA